rnacentral:piRNA from 1 species
UACUAAAGUGUGUGAAAUGUUUGGACAUG